rnacentral:rRNA from 1 species
CCUACGUGUGGCAGCAGUGGGGAAUAUUGGACAAUGGGCGAAAGCCUGAUCCAGCCAUGCCGCGUGUGUGAAGAAGGCCUUCGGGUUGUAAAGCACUUUCAGUGGGGAAGAAAGCCUUGGGGCUAAUACCCUCGAGGAAGGACAUCACCCACAGAAGAAGCACCGGCUAACUCCGUGCCAGCAGCCGCGGUAAUACGGAGGGUGCGAGCGUUAAUCGGAAUUACUGGGCGUAAAGCGCGCGUAGGCGGUCUGAUAAGCCGGUUGUGAAAGCCCCGGGCUCAACCUGGGAACGGCAUCCGGAACUGUCAGGAUAGGGUGCAGGAGAGGAAGGUAGAAUUCCCGGUGUAGCGGUGAAAUGCGUAGAGAUCGGGAGGAAUACCAGUGGCGAAGGCGGCCUUCUGGACUGACACUGACGCUGAGGUGCGAAAGCGUGGGUAGCAAACAGGAUUAGAUACCCUAGUAGU